UACGGAGGGGACUAGCGUUGCUCGGAAUCACUGGGCGUAAAGGGCGCGCAGGCGGUCGUUCAAGUCGGGUGUGAAAGCCCCCGGCUCAACUGGGGAGGGUCACGCGAUACUGAUCGACUCGAAGGCAGGAGAGGGUAGUGGAAUUCCCGGUGUAGUGGUGAAAUUCGUAGAUAUUAGGAAGAACACCGGUGGCGAAGGCGGCCCACUGGCUCGACACUGACGCUGAGGUGCGAAAGCGUGGGGAGCAAACAGG
rnacentral:rRNA from 1 species